UACGUAGGGUGCAAGCGUUGUCCGGAAUUACUGGGCGUAAAGCGCACGUAGGCGGCUUUGUAAGUUAGAGGUGAAAGCCCGGGGCUCAACCCCGGAAUUGCCUUUAAGACUGCAUCGCUUGAAUCCAGGAGAGGUGAGUGGAAUUCCGAGUGUAGAGGUGAAAUUCGUAGAUAUUCGGAAGAACACCAGUGGCGAAGGCGGCUCACUGGACUGGUAUUGACGCUGAGGUGCGAAAGCGUGGGGAGCAAACAGG
rnacentral:rRNA from 1 species